AACUCUGAUGCAGCGACGCCGCGUAGGGAAGACGGUCUUCGGAUUGUAAACCUCUGUCUUUAGGGACGAAAAAAUGACGGUACCUAAGGAGGAAGCCACGGCUAACUACGUGCCAGCAGCCGCGGUAAUACGUAGGUGGCAAGCGUUGUCCGGAAUUACUGGGUGUAAAGGGAGCGUAGGCGGGGAGACAAGUUGAAUGUUUAAACUAUCGGCUCAACUGAUAGUCGCGUUCAAAACUAUCACUCUUGAGUGCAGUAGAGGUAGGCGGAAUUCCUAGUGUAGCGGUGAAAUGCGUAGAUAUUAGGAGGAACACCAGUGGCGAAGGCGGCCUACUGGGCUGUAACUGACGCUGAGGCUCGAAAGCGUGGGUAGCAAACAGGAUUAGAUACCCUGGUAGUCCACGCCGUAAACGAUGAUUACUAGGUGUGGGGGGACUGACCCCUUCCGUGCCGGAGUUAACACAAUAAGUAAUCCACCUGGGGAGUACGACCGCAAGGUUGAAACUCAAAGGAAUUGACGGGGGCCCGCACAAGCAGUGGAGUGUGUGGUUUAAUUCGAAGCAACGCGAAGAACCUUACCAGGUCUUGACAUCGAGUGACGAACUUAGAGAUAAGUUUUUCCUUCGGGACACGAAGACAGGUGGUGCAUGGUUGUCGUCAGCU
rnacentral:rRNA from 1 species